UCCUUUGAGAUUGAGCAUAGGCAGCAGC
rnacentral:sRNA from 1 species